rnacentral:rRNA from 1 species
GUGGGGAAUUUUGGACAAUGGGCGCAAGCCUGAUCCAGCAAUGCCGCGUGCAGGAAGAAGGCCUUCGGGUUGUAAACUGCUUUUGUACGGAACGAAACGGUCCUGGCUAAUAUCCGGGGCUAAUGACGGUACCGUAAGAAUAAGCACCGGCUAACUACGUGCCAGCAGCCGCGGUAAUACGUAGGGUGCGAGCGUUAAUCGGAAUUACUGGGCGUAAAGCGUGCGCAGGCGGUGCUGUAAGACAGGCGUGAAAUCCCCGGGCUCAACCUGGGAAUUGCGCUUGUGACUGCAGUGCUGGAGUGCGGCAGAGGGGGAUGGAAUUCCGCGUGUAGCAGUGAAAUGCGUAGAUAUGCGGAGGAACACCGAUGGCGAAGGCAAUCCCCUGGGCCUGCACUGACGCUCAUGCACGAAAGCGUGGGGAGCAAACAGGAUUAGAUACCCGUGUAGUCC